ensembl:lncRNA
AGGUGAUGUGCCUUCCUGGGCCUCCUAAAGUGCUGGAAUUACAGGCGUGAGCCACUGCACCUGGCCUGUUUCCUCUUUGCGUGGUGGGGUUGCCUGGGAUAUAGGACACCAAGGCCCGUACAGGGCAACAUUAUCUUAGGGUGCAGGAUGUUGAGGGAAGUUGGGGUCAGAGGCUGAAGGACUGGCUAGGAGACCUGGGGAUUAAGUAGGGAAUCUUGGAGGGCCUUGUUUCAGUGUCUUGGGUGGAAGCUGACCACUUCAUGUCAUCUGAGGCUUCUGCCGGUCUUUGGAGGUCAGUUUACUUCGUAUUGUCAUCUGUGUCUGGAGGCUCUUGCAAGAACCUCAGUUUAAGGUUUUCUGCUGGGGGUGGAUUUCCACUUGGAGGAAGACUUGCAUUUUUAAUAUUGUGAAACAUGAGCCCAAGGUUGCACUUCUUGUAGCUUUGCUGUGUCAUUAGUGACUCAGUAGGCUGAGUAAUGCCUCCUACCAACGGCAGGGAAAACUCUCCCCAUUCUGAAAAUGUGCAGACUAGGAUUGAAAUAAAUUGAUUCCCAGGAAACCUUGGGAGUUCGAAUCCCCUUUAACUGGAUGUUUCUGUACUCAUUGUCAAAGGCCUUGCAGAUACGAUUAAAUUAAAGGUCUUGAGAUGGGGAGGCUGUCAUGAAUUAUCUGGGUGGGCCCUAGUCAUCAGGGUCCUCAAGGGAGGGACAGGGGGAGAUCAGAGGAGGAAGCAGCAGGCAGGAGGAAGUGAUGGUUGGAGAGAGGCAAGGAGAAGCUCCUCCCAGAACCGCCAGGAGGAACCAGCACCUUUACAUUCACCCAAUGAAACGGCCUCAGUCUUCUGCCCUGCAGAAGUGUCCGAAAAUAAACGAGUUGUUUUAAGCCAGAGCGUGUGGGACUGUGUGAGAGCAGCCACAGGAAGCCAGUACAGCAGGACAGCACUGGGUCCCUUCCAUUUGGGUUCAAGAAAAUUGGCGAGAAUAGUACAAAGAAUUUUGUACUAUGGAACACAUGCUUCCCAGCGCCACACAGUUAAGGAGAUGUCUGACAGUCCUCUUUCCUGUACAGGUAAUAUUUUUUUCCUUUUGUAAAUUAGUAUUUAUUCUGAGAGGGAGAUACUUUGAUACUAUGUAAAUACCCUGUUACACAUCGUUCUUUAAUCCAUUAGUUUUAGCAUUUGUUGAUGAUUCUAAUCUGAGUUGAUUGUUAACAUGGUGGUUUUCAAAUGAUGAUUUUUCUAACCCCAUUGUUGCUACAUUUAUUUGUUGCUGUUAUGGGUUGAAUUGUGUGUUCAUAACCCCAGCACCCAAGUUCGUAACUCUUAGCACCUCAACAUGUGACCUUAUUUGGAGUUUGGUCUUUACAGAGGUGAUCAAGAUAAAAUAAGGUUAUUAGGGUGGGCCCCAAUCCAAUAAGACAGGUGUCCUUAUAAUAAGGGAAGAUUUAGGUGGAGAGACACACACACGGAGGAUGAUAGGAAGACCCAGGAGAAAGCAGCCAUCUACAAGCCAAGGAGAGAGGCUUGAACAGACAAUCUCUUAGCCUCAGAAGGAGUCAACCCUAUGGACACCUUGAUCUGGGACUUCCAGCCUCCAGAGCUGUGAAACAAUACAUUUUUGUUGUUGAGGCCACUAGGUUUGUGAUCUCUUGUCACAGCUGUCCUAGGAAACAGUUUUCUAUGAUAAGGAAGAGCUCUUCGGCCUCCCUUAUUGGUUGAGUUACUUUGAUCGGUGUGAACUUAGGGGACUUUGCUGCUUGCAUUGUCCUAGAUGAGGCAGGAGAUCCCACACGCUGGUGCCGUGUCCUCUGGACCUGCCUUGUUGUUGUUUUUGUUCAGGGUGUGUCAGGUCCACGUUAUUCUCUCUCCAUACCUGGCCUAAAGUCAGCCCCUUUCCCACAGAGUCCAAGUUCCUGAGAGAGAAGAAUGAUGUUCGAAAGCCAAGCACGGUGAGUCACAUAAGCUUUCUGAAACAGCUUGUCACAUUCCACAAACAGAUCUGUUUGAAUUGUGGGAUUUCAGUGAUCUGUAGAACACUUGAGCGAGUGUUGAUAGCUUUACAAAAAUGAGGCUUCCUCUUGUUGAACUCUCCAUUUUAUUAGGUUUUCUUCCAUUUGUCACACUUGUAGUUUAUGGUUUUCUGUCCAGAGAUACUGUGUGUCAGUCAGAUUUAUUUCUAACUUUUUGAUGUUCUUUCAAGACUAUUUUAGCUUGUUUUAGCUAUUCUAAAACUGAUUUUCUUACUGUUUGUUAUUGAUGUACUGAAAUAUAGUUGAUUUUUGCCUGUUGGUCUUACAUCUAAUAAACCAAUUUAUUGGUUCUGAUGAUGUAUUCAUAGAUUAUUUUGGAUGGUCUACACACACAAUUAUAUUUCCUGAGAAAAAGGCAGUUUUAUUUCUUCCUUUCCAAUACUUACACAUUUAGCAUCUUUUUCACACCUUUCUGCACCAGCAGGACAUUCAGAACAAGGCUGAAAAGAGAGAGAAAAGGCAUUCUUACCUUCUCGCGGUCUCCAAGGGAAAGCUCUCAGCAUUUCACAGUUGAGUACGUCUGCAGUAGGCUUGCUUUCUGUAAAUACUUACUGUCAUAUUAUAAAAGUUUCUUUCCAGUUUAAGUUUACUGAGAGAUUUUCUAAAAAUCGUUAAUAAAUGUUGACUUUUAAUAAAGGCAUCUAUUUAUAUAUACAUCUAUUAAGCUAAUCAUAUGAUAUUUUUCCUUUAUUCUGUUACUGUCUGUUUUAUUUUUGGAGACAGAGUCUCACUCUGUCACCCAGGCUAUAGUGCAGUGGUGCAGUCAUAGCUCUCUGGCUCAUUGCAGUCUUGAACUCAUGGGCUCAAGCAAUCCUGCCACCUCAGUCUCCUGAGUAGCUAGGACUACAGGCACAUGCCACUGAACCUGGCUAAUUUUAUAUUUUUAUUAUUAUUAUUAUUACUAUUUUUUUUUCAAAAUGAAGUUUUGUAUUUGUUGCCCAGGCUGAAGUACAAUGGCGUGAUCUUGGCUCACUGCAACCUCCGCCUCCCACACUCAAGCGAUUCUCCUGCCUCAGGCUCCCGAGUAGCUGGGAUUACAGGUGCCUGCCACUAUGCCUGACUAAUUUUCGUAUUUUUAGUAGAGACGGGAUUUCACUGUGUUGGUCAGUCUGGUCUUGAACUCCUGACCUCAGGUGAUCUUCUCACCUCGACCUUUCUUUUUUUUUUUUUUUUUUUUUUUUUUGAGACGGAGUCUCACGCUGUCGCCCAGGCUGGAGUGCAGUGGCGCGAUCUCGGCUCACUGCAAGCUCCGCCUCCCGGGUUCCCGCCAUUCUCCUGCCUCAGCCUCCUGAGUAGCUGGGACUACAGGCGCCGCCACCGCGCCCGGCUAAUUUUUUUUUUUUUUUUUUUUUUUUUUUUUUUUUUUUGUAUUUUUAGUAGAGACGGGGUUUCACUGUGGUCUCGAUCUCCUGACCUUGUGAUCCGCCCGCCUCGGCCUCCCAAAGUGCUGGGAUUACAGGCUUGAGCCACCGCGCCCGGCCACCUCGACCUUUCAAAAUGCUGGGAUUACAGGGCUGAGCCAAGCACCGGGCCUGAACCUGGCUAAUUUCAAAAACAUUUUGUAGAGAUGAGGUCUUGCUAUGUUGCCCGGGCUGGUCUCGAAUUCCUGACAUCAAGCGAUGCUCCCACCUUGGCCUCCCAAAGUUUUGGGAUUACAGGCAUGAGCCGCUGUGCCCAGCUGGAUCGCCGAAUACUAUAACAACCUUGCAUUCCUGCUAUAGGCAACGGUUGAUCACAGUGUGUUAUGCUUUUUAUUUAUUGCUGAGU